rnacentral:rRNA from 1 species
UACGUAGGUCCCGAGCGUUGUCCAGAUUUAUUGGGCGUAAAGCGAGCGCGGUGGUUUAUUAAGUCUGGUGUAAAAGGCAGUGGCUCAACCAUUGUAUGCAUUGGAAACUGGUAGACUUGAGUGCAGGAGAGGAGAGUGGAAUUCCAUGUGUAGCGGUGAAAUGCGUAGAUAUAUGGAGGAACACCGGUGGCGAAAGCGGCUCUCUAGCCUGUAACUGACACUGAGGCUCGAAAGCGUGGGGAGCAAACAGG